AUACGGAGGGUGCGAGCGUUAAUCGGAAUUACGGGGCGUAAAGCGUACGUAGGCGGCUUGGUCAGUCGGAUGUGAAAGCCCCGGGCUUAACCUGGGAAUUGCACUCGAUACUGCCAGACUAGAGUUUAGUAGAGGAAUGCGGAAUUCCGGGUGUAGCGGUGAAAUGCGUAGAUAUCCGGAGGAACAUCAGUGGCGAAGGCGGCAUUCUGGGCUAAAACUGACACUGAGGUGCGAAAGCGUGGGGAGCAAACAGGAUUAGAAACCCCAGUAGUCC
rnacentral:rRNA from 1 species